rnacentral:lncRNA from 1 species
AAAAGAGUUUCAUCUCAGAGACACUUGAAGUUUGUUUCCUGGAAAGAAUGGAGAGGAUGAUGAAGAGGCAGAUGAAGAAAUAGAUGGUGUAGAAAAAGAAAGAAAUAUGCUAAAGGCCUGGAUCUGGACUCCACGAAAAGGAGAGAGCUAGAUGGGCAGCAGCCUUCGUUGUCUCCUGCUUCCUGACGAUGGACACCCUAUGACCACCUGCCUCAAUUCUCUAGCUGUCAUGAUGUCUCCACUAUGACUGGGAUGUACCCUAGAACUGAAACAACACUGCUCUGCCUGCAGCAGCCACCCUCACACUCCACAUCACCACCAACAGUGCAUCAUUGUCGAGUUCUCUACUGUCCAUCAAACGUGUGGCUUGCGUUCUGCUGGUUAACUGGUGAUUUUGAUAAGAAUGGUCCCCC